CUGUGAGCUCGAUGAGUAGGGCGGGACACGUGGUAUCCUGUCUGAAUAUGGGGGGACCAUCCUCCAAGGCUAAAUACUCCUGACUGACCGAUAGUGAACCAGUACCGUGAGGGAAAGGCGAAAAGAACCCCGGCGAGGGGAGUGAAAAAGAACCUGAAACCGUGUACGUACAAGCAGUGGGAGCACGCUUCGGCGUGUGACUGCGUACCUUUUGUAUAAUGGGUCAGCGACUUAUAUUCUGUAGCAAGGUUAACCGAAUAGGGGAGCCGAAGGGAAACCGAGUCUUAACUGGGCGUUAAGUUGCAGGGUAUAGACCCGAAACCCGGUGAUCUAGCCAUGGGCAGGUUGAAGGUUGGGUAACACUAACUGGAGGACCGAACCGACUAAUGUUGAAAAAUUAGCGGAUGACUUGUGGCUGGGGGUGAAAGGCCAAUCAAACCGGGAGAUAGCUGGUUCUCCCCGAAAGCUAUUUAGGUAGCGCCUCGUGAAUUCAUCUCCGGGGGUAGAGCACUGUUUCGGCAAGGGGGUCAUCCCGACUUACCAACCCGAUGCAAACUGCGAAUACCGGAGAAUGUUAUCACGGGAGACACACGGCGGGUGCUAACGUCCGUCGUGAAGAGGGAAACAACCCAGACCGCCAGCUAAGGUCCCAAAGUCAUGGUUAAGUGGGAAACGAUGUGGGAAGGCCCAGACAGCCAGGAUGUUGGCUUAGAAGCAGCCAUCAUUUAAAGAAAGCGUAAUAGCUCACUGGUCGAGUCGGCCUGCGCGGAAGAUGUAACGGGGCUAAACCAUGCACCGAAGCUGCGGCAGCGACACUAUGUGUUGUUGGGUAGGGGAGCGUUCUGUAAGCCUGUGAAGGUGGCCUGUGAGGGUUGCUGGAGGUAUCAGAAGUGCGAAUGCUGACAUAAGUAACGAUAAAGCGGGUGAAAAGCCCGCUCGCCGGAAGACCAAGGGUUCCUGUCCAACGUUAAUCGGGGCAGGGUGAGUCGACCCCUAAGGCGAGGCCGAAAGGCGUAGUCGAUGGGAAACAGGUUAAUAUUCCUGUACUUGGUGUUACUGCGAAGGGGGGACGGAGAAGGCUAUGUUGGCCGGGCGACGGUUGUCCCGGUUUAAGCGUGUAGGCUGGUUUUCCAGGCAAAUCCGGAAAAUCAAGGCUGAGGCGUGAUGACGAGGCACUACGGUGCUGAAGCAACAAAUGCCCUGCUUCCAGGAAAAGCCUCUAAGCAUCAGGUAACAUCAAAUCGUACCCCAAACCGACACAGGUGGUCAGGUAGAGAAUACCAAGGCGCUUGAGAGAACUCGGGUGAAGGAACUAGGCAAAAUGGUGCCGUAACUUCGGGAGAAGGCACGCUGAUAUGUAGGUGAAGCGCCUCGCGGGUGGAGCUGAAAUCAGUCGAAGAUACCAGCUGGCUGCAACUGUUUAUUAAAAACACAGCACUGUGCAAACACGAAAGUGGACGUAUACGGUGUGACGCCUGCCCGGUGCCGGAAGGUUAAUUGAUGGGGUUAGCGCAAGCGAAGCUCUUGAUCGAAGCCCCGGUAAACGGCGGCCGUAACUAUAACGGUCCUAAGGUAGCGAAAUUCCUUGUCGGGUAAGUUCCGACCUGCACGAAUGGCGUAAUGAUGGCCAGGCUGUCUCCACCCGAGACUCAGUGAAAUUGAACUCGCUGUGAAGAUGCAGUGUACCCGCGGCAAGACGGAAAGACCCCGUGAACCUUUACUAUAGCUUGACACUGAACAUUGAGCCUUGAUGUGUAGGAUAGGUGGGAGGCUUUGAAGUGUGGACGCCAGUCUGCAUGGAGCCGACCUUGAAAUACCACCCUUUAAUGUUUGAUGUUCUAACGUUGGCCCCUGAUCGGGGUUGCGGACAGUGUCUGGUGGGUAGUUUGACUGGGGCGGUCUCCUCCUAAAGAGUAACGGAGGAGCACGAAGGUUGGCUAAUCCUGGUCGGACAUCAGGAGGUUAGUGCAAUGGCAUAAGCCAGCUUGACUGCGAGCGUGACGGCGCGAGCAGGUGCGAAAGCAGGUCAUAGUGAUCCGGUGGUUCUGAAUGGAAGGGCCAUCGCUCAACGGAUAAAAGGUACUCCGGGGAUAACAGGCUGAUACCGCCCAAGAGUUCAUAUCGACGGCGGUGUUUGGCACCUCGAUGUCGGCUCAUCACAUCCUGGGGCUGAAGUAGGUCCCAAGGGUAUGGCUGUUCGCCAUUUAAAGUGGUACGCGAGCUGGGUUUAGAACGUCGUGAGACAGUUCGGUCCCUAUCUGCCGUGGGCGCUGGAGAACUGAGGGGGGCUGCUCCUAGUACGAGAGGACCGGAGUGGACGCAUCACUGGUGUUCGGGUUGUCAUGCCAAUGGCACUGCCCGGUAGCUAAAUGCGGAAGAGAUAAGUGCUGAAAGCAUCUAAGCACGAAACUUGCCCCGAGAUGAGUUCUCCCUGACUCCCUGAGAGUCCUGAAGGAACGUUGAAGACGACGACGUUGAUAGGCCGGGUGUGUAAGCGCAGCGAUGCGUUGAGCUAACCGGUACUAAUGAACCGUGAGGCUUAACCUU
rnacentral:rRNA from 1 species